rnacentral:lncRNA from 10 species
UUAUCAGGGUUUUCUGCUUUUGCUUCUUCCUCAUUUUCUCUUGCCGCUGCCAGGUCAGAAGUGCCUUUCACCUCCUGCCAUGAUUCUGAGGCCUCCCCAGCCACGUGGAACUGUAAGUCCAAUUAAACUUCUUUUUCUACCUGGUCUCAGGUGGAAACUGGAGUACACAGACACUAGAACUAGCUGGCCGCUUCUGAGCUGGCAGGGGUGGACUCCACUCUCUGGGUCCCACUGUGUUCCACCUGUCUCAGGAGUAGGAGUGCAGGAUUUGAAUCAAGAGCCAUGAUUUCAUGUUAUAGAAAACUGUACAUUCUUCAAUUAAUGAAAAUGAAGAGCUUAUUGACUAAAUAUUAUUGAAGAAAUUCAUUAUCUGUGAGAACACGAAAAAUUUGCGACCUAUCCCAAAUUUCAAGCAAGCAGUGGAGGAGAACUAACUUGACAGCAUGUUGAAACAUGCAAUGGAGAAAAAGUGUAAGGUCAAUGGAGACUGCUAUUUUUUGGUGGAGCAAUUACAUUUACAGAGCAUUUUGCAAUGUACAAAACUUUACAUGAAAAUUUACAAUUUGUAUUCUUUUGAGUUUCUUAUAGUCACUAGAAAGGUAAAUAAGUCAGGGUUUGCCCAAUGUCCCAUCAACUCUAAAUAGUAAAGGGAAGAGGAGUUCAGAUGUCUGGCUCCUAGGCAAUCUCUCCAAUCUCUCUUCAUUUCAGUUAGCUGCUUCUUCUGACUACCUGUCUUAAUUUUCUCCAUGCUGUUAUUCUUUCACGAUAUGCUUACCACAUUUGAUCUAACACUUAGUAUGGUGUGUGGUACAUAACAGGAGCUCAAUGAAUACGUACGUGUUGAAUGAAUAACUGGAUGAAUGAAUAAAUAAAUGAGUAGAUAAGUGAGUGUGUUCAUUCGUGUUCAAGACACUGGAGUCUGAGUUGGUGGUUACAUUUAGCACCUUUAGCAGGGUUGCUCUAACAUACCUGAUACAUACUUUCUUUCAGAAGAUGGCAAUUUGGAUCAUUUUGCCUCUUUUAUUCUAUGAUUUGACAAGCAUUGAGUUUUUUGAGUACUAUUUUUUGCUUUGUUUGAGGAUGUUUAUUUCAUUUUGAGAAGCUAAUAUCUUGUAAGGAUGGUACACUGGGAAUUACAAAGUGAUCUGCAGUUUUAUUUUCCUUAUAUUUGAGUUUAAGAAAUCUCCUAAAUAGGAAAAUUGAAAAGAAACUCUUAUAGUUUUACAUGAUACAUGAACCAGACCCCUCUAUUUCAUAAGCUACUCUUAUACAUGCUAUCUUCAUAAUUAGUUUCUUUAUUAUCAGACAUUAAGAAAAGUUUGGAAGGCUCAAAAAUCUUCCCUGAUAUUUUUCAUUUUCUACAACAGUAGGCUCACAGUGAUCUAGGUGAUGACAUUUAUGAAUCCUGUAUGUAGUUUUCAACUUCCCUAAGAAAUAUUUACAUUUUUUCCAACUUAGUUUAUUCACUUGUCCUGCUCAAUGUGUUGGUAUAAAUAUGGAUUUAAUUCUCAUUAUAUUUUCACUUUGGGCUUGUCAUUCUGUGCUGAAUUGGAAUUUUCAAUCUUAAUGCCAUACAUGAAUAUUUACAUGGAUUGUUGGAUUGCAAAAAGGAGCUGGAAAAGAAACUAUCAUCAGAGCAAACCGACAACCUACAAUGGGAGAAAAUUUUUGCAACCUAUCCAAUUAACAAAGGUCUAAUAUCGAGAGUCUACAUCUAUGAGGAAGUUAAACAAGCUAUAGGAAAAACAACCCCAUUAAAAAGUGGACAAAGGACAUGAAUAGACACUUCUCAAAAGAAGACAUUUAUGUGGCCAACAAACAUGAUAAAAAGCUUAACAUCACUGAUCAUUAGGGAAAUGCAAAUGAAAACCACAAUGAGAUACUAUCUCACACCAGUCAGAAUGGCCAUUAUUAAAAAGCCAAAAAACAACAGAUGCUGGCAAGGCUGUGGAGAAAUAGAAACACUUUUACACUGUUAGUGGACAUGUAAAUUAGUUCAACCAUUGUGGAAGACAGUGUGGUGAUUCCUAAAAGACCUAGAACCAGAAAUACUUUUUGACCGAGUAAUCUCAUUACAGGGUAUAUAUCCAAAGGGCUAUAAAUCCCUCUAUUAUUAUUAUUAUUAUUUGAGAUGGAGUCUCACUCUGUCUCCAGGCCGGAGUGCAGUGGCGUGAUAUCAGCUCACUGCAACCUCCACCUCCCAGGAUUAAGCAAUUAUCUUGCCUCAGCUUCCUGAGUAGUUGGGACUACAGGCGCACACCACCACGCCCAGCUAAUUUUUUUUUUUUUUUGUAUUUUUGGUAGAGACGGGGUUUCAUCAUGUUGGCCAGGAUGGUCUUGAUCUCUUGACAUCAUGGUCUGCCCACCUCGACCUCCUAAAGUGCUGGGAUUACAGAUAAGAGCCACUGAACUUGGCCAUAAAUCAUUCUAUUAUAAAGAUACAUGCACACAUAUGUUCACUGCAGCACUCUUCACAAUAGCAAUGACAUGGAAUCAAUCCAAAUGCCCAUCAGUGAAAGACUGGAUAAAGAAAAUGUGGUACGUAUAUACCAUAGAAUAGUAUGCAGCCAUAAAAAGGAAUAAGGUCAUGACCUUUGCAGGAACAGAUCGAACUGGAAGUCAUUAUCCUCAGCAAACUAACACAGGAACAGAAAACCAAAUACUGCAUGUUCUCACAUCUAAGUGGGAGCUGAACAAUGAGAACACAUGGACACAGGGAAGGGAACAAAACACACUGAGGCCUGUCAGUAGUGGGGAGUAGAGAGGGAGAGGAUCAGGAAAAAUAGCUAAUUCACACUGGGCUUAAUACUUAGGUGAUGGGUUGAUAGAUGAAGCGAACCACCAUGGCACAUGUUUACCUAUGUAACAAAGCUGCACAUCCUGCACAUGUACCCUGGAACUUAAAAUAAAAUAAAAAUAAAAGAAUAAAGGAGCUGGGUUGUUGGAUUAAAAGAGUUGUUGGAUUCAAAAGAAGACAGGCAGGACUGUAUGCACAUGGUAAAUGCUGCUAGGGAAACAAUUCCUUAGUAAACAUUUUUAAUUGUGGUUGAACAUGAAUCAAGGUAGUUUUCACAAAGAAAUAGUACCACUAGAAUGAAUGUAUAGUAUUUUUUAAUAUAAAUGCAGAAUGAUACCGUGUGGACUAUGCACUUCAGCAAUAACUUUUAGUAAUUGCAAUCAUAUCAAUUCUGCAGUUAAAGGGAUUGCU